rnacentral:rRNA from 1 species
GACGAACGCUGGCGGCGCGCCUAACACAUGCAAGUCGAGCGAAGCGGCGAACGGGUGAGUAACGCGUGAGGAACCUGCCUCUCACAACGGGAUAGCCUCGGGAAACCGGGAUUAAUACCGUAUGGUGAGAGAUGGCCUCGCGUCUGAUUAGUUAGUUGGUUGGGUAACGGCCUACCAAGACGACGAGCAGUAACCGGCCUGAGAGGGGGAACGGUAACAUUGGCACUGAGACACGGGCCAAACUCAUACGGGAGGCAGCAGUGGGGAAUCGGGCACAAUGGGGGGAACCCUGAGGCAGCGAGGCCGGGUGAGCGAUGAAGGUUGUCGAAUCGGAAAGCUCUGUCCUAUGGGAAGCGGUACCAGAGGAGGAAGCCCCGGCUAACUACGUGCCAGCAGCCGCGGUAAUUC